ensembl:ncRNA ZK682.8 ncRNA
UCGAAACACCGACGACCUGGAAGUAGAUGCCAUUGUUCAUCACAGGCCGCCUACCACCCGCGCGGCUCGUCUUAACACGUACUUUCCGCAUUGAUUAUCACUGAUUUUGCGUGUUCAUUUUUCGUUUUCCGGUUGGCGUCCCCAAGCGUCUCGCGCGUCUUGACUGCUAAUCCUUCCGUACACAACUUUCUGUCCGCAUCUCUUCUCGUAGCCGCCUUCUUCUUGUGCGCGAUUCGACAAAAUAGCAGGCAACAGUGCGGAGAGUAGACUCUCAUAACACAUACCGCGCCUCUAGGAGCCCUCUCCAGAAAGAGGAGAGUUGAAGGCCGGUCUGCCA